rnacentral:lncRNA from 1 species
UUAUAUGGGUUAUAUAUAUGAUACUGAAAAUAAAAAGUUAUAAAAUACUUAUUCAUUAAAAAAUAGUAAGCACAUGUUAAUGCAAACCACAUUUUAAUGAAAAUGCAUUUCCUUAAAAAAUUAUUAAGAAAAGUGGAAAAUUGUAUUCCAGUUUUUGCAACUAUCUUUACCGUCUGACUUAACGAAGACAGAUGGAGUCUCAUAUCUGCUUCCACAUUCAAUCUGUUGUGAUAUUACACAUCAUGUAACCUCUAGUAAAUGCUACUGUAUAUUCAUGAAAAAUUGGGAGUGUGGGAAAUAAUAAUGUCUUAGUUUGGUUAUGAAAAUAGUUUUACUUGAAAGAACCAUUCUUACAAAACAGUGGUUUACAAGGAUUCUCAAAUCUUAGUGUAAGAAUCCUUUGGAAAGCGUUUCAGAAUGUCUAUUUCAGGCAUCUACCACACACAUAUUCUGAUUGAUUGUAUCUGGGAUAAAUCCCAGAUCUCUGCAUUUGUAAUCUCAAGUGAGUUUUAGGUAUGUAGUAGAAGAACCACUGUUCAGGGUUCACUAUGCUUCCACCCUAAAAAAGUAAGCCUGUGUGCUUCACCAUGGACAGUGGAGGACUCUCCACUGAAAUGGACUUCUGGACCUUUCAGUUUUAUCCUUUAUCUCCCACAGUUUGUUCUUAGACUGUUCCCCUUUAAACUCUUAACUAAUCAUGAUACAAACCUAUCCCUCCUCUUCUCUAAGGACAGCUGAGAUGAGGCUACAACAUUUAAAUGAGGUUUUCAUUAGAAGCUCAGGAAUAAUAAGGGAAAAAAUACACGUAACAGAUGACCUGGUUUAUAAAUACAUCUUCUGUUUGAGGUCCAUAUAAAGACUGCCUUCUCAUCUAGCUCUCAGCCUUCCAUAUGGUAGAGGCUUAUCAGGAAGACGAGGAGGGCAAAGGAACCUUUUUGUCAUUUACUUUCGUAAGUGAACAGAUAUAUAAUAGAAAAUACUGAGUAUGUUUACAGCUGUAGUAGAGCCUUCUCUAAUGAAACAUAAUGGCAUUCUUAAAAUGAAGGAACAGUAAAAAUCCACAAACUCAGAUAUAAAAAUAAGAUAAUUGUUAAUGUAUUUUUCAAGAGUCUGUAAGAAAAUGUUUCAUAAAGGCCUAUCAUGAAGCAUUGUGUAACUUAAUUUGCAUAAUUUUUAGUCUAUGUAAUUCUCCAUAUAUUUCUAUAAAGGGGCUUCUCAUUGGAAAUAUUUUUCUUGUACCUAUAAAAAAACCUCCUUUGUGGAUUUUCCAGUUUAUAAUUACUUAUCCCGAAGAUACAUUGGAGAUUUUCUUGUGUGUACAUGUGGAAUACACCCCAGUGAGAAAUUCCUAUGGAGAAAGACUCAUCAUCAGCAAUAACCUUCAUCUUUGUAACUGUGAACACUUUCAUUAAUGUGAAUAAUAUUCUCAAAGGCUUUCUAAAAUCGGAAUCAUCCGAUACAGCUUUCUACCUUAAAGUUCAAAAUUGUAAAGUUGUUAAAUAAAUGUGUAGAUUAUGCAAAACAUACUUAAAAUAUAAAUUGAAUUUGGCAAGGCAAGGGAAGACAAACUUGAAAAUACAGGUGUUGAAUACAAUUUGAUCUACAUAGUUCCAAAACUCGCCAGUUUCUUAAAAAUCAUUGUUAAGGCUGAUACAAGAAGUACAUUUCUAGUUUUAUAGAUUCUAAUUUAAUGGUUAAAUUACUAUGCAUUAUGCAGGUUAUAAAACUGUUCUUAUUUAUUUUAUAUACUUUUCUCAUUCAGAAUACUUUUCAUUACUUUUCGUUGUGUUGGAAAUAUAGCAUCAUGCAUCUGUUUCAGUGCCUUAUUUUUUUAAAAGCAAUCUUUUGCUAAUGGUUGAAGAACUGUUGUCUUAAGAAUGAAAUAUUUCAU